AUGGGUUCCCGGCCGCGCCUCUAUUGGGCCAUUGAUUGGCAUGCUUUCCUCUACAUACUUAUACAAAGAAGUCAUGAAGAAGACAAAAAAAGUGAGUUUCAGAUCUUACCGGUCGGAGGCGUUGCAACGCUGUUUCGUAGUCACCAUCGUCGAAACAAAAGUUCAGAAAUCAAUUCAGAGGGAAUCAGUUGGAGGAAGUUAAAUUCUAAGUCCUUGGAUUUGAUGGAUCAGUUUUUCUGUUAUGCAUAUGUUGUUCAGAAGUUGGUUACAGGUUCAGUGGUGCAGCUUGGCAUGGUGAAUGAAAAGGUAUAUUGA